CCUACGGGUGGCAGCAGUGAGGACUAUUGGUCAAUGGACGAGAGUCUGAACCAGCCAAGUAGCGUGAAGGAUGACUGCCCUAUGGUUUGUAAACUUCUUUUAUAUGGGAAUAAAACAGGGUAUGCAUACCCUCUUUUAUGUACCAUAUGAAUAAGGAUAGGCUAACUCCGUGCCAGCAGCCGCGGUAAUACGGAGGAUCCGAGCGUUAUCCGGAUUUCUUGGGUUUAAAGGGAGCGUAGGUGGAUUGUUAAGUCAGUUGUGAAAGUUUGCGGCUCAACCGUAAAAUUGCAGUUGAAACUGGCAGUCUUGAGUACAGUAGAGGUGGGCGGAAUUCGUGGUGUAGCGGUGAAAUGCUUAGAUAUCACGAAGAACUCCGAUUGCGAAGGCAGCUCACUGGACUGCAACUGACACUGAUGCUCGAAAGUGUGGGUAUCAAACAGGAUUAGAUACCCUAGUAGUC
rnacentral:rRNA from 1 species